rnacentral:rRNA from 1 species
GGAUGCUUUACACAUGCAAGUCGAACGGCAGCGCGAGAGAGCUUGCUCUCUUGGCGGCGAGUGGCGGACGGGUGAGUAAUAUAUCGGAACGUGCCCAGUAGCGGGGGAUAACUACUCGAAAGAGUGGCUAAUACCGCAUACGCCCUACGGGGGAAAGGGGGGGAUCGCAAGACCUCUCACUAUUGGAGCGGCCGAUAUCGGAUUAGCUAGUUGGUGGGGUAAAGGCUCACCAAGGCAACGAUCCGUAGCUGGUUUGAGAGGACGACCAGCCACACUGGGACUGAGACACGGCCCAGACUCCUACGGGAGGCAGCAGUGGGGAAUUUUGGACAAUGGGGGAAACCC